GCCAAGGGCUGGGGGCUCGGGGGGAAAGGGCGGAGGCCUUAGACUCGGGGCUGACCACCCCAACUCUGCACCUUACGUCCUCCUUAUCUGUGCAAUGGGAGCGGUCGUUCCUGCCUCACUGCGUUGUGGCGUUAUUUUAAAGGGGCUUUCGAAGGAAUCGAAAGUAAAAAGCCAGCAUAGGAACUUCAAUGUGCUUUUAAAAUACUUUGGAUACCUAUCGAGCGCCUACUAGAUGCGCCGCCCUAGCGCAGAAGGCUGGAAUGGGCUGAAAGGGGAAAACGAAACGUCACCCACAGUUUAGGUCUUCCUGGGCAUCUGCGCGGGACACCCUGAAGCUAAGAGAGAGACAGAGCAUGAAUGGGGAAGGGUCAGAGAGAGAGGGAGACACAGAAUCUGAAGUGGACUCCAGGCACGAAGCUGUCAGCACAGAGCCUGACGCAGCGCUCGAACUCACGGACCGUGAGAUCCUGACCUGAGCCGAAGUCUGACGCUCAACUGACUGAGCCACGCAGGCACCCCAUAUGUUUUAUUCAUUUUUCAAUAAAAAUAUUUAUAUCAUCUUGGAUUUUCUUCCUAUGGUGGAUACUGAUAAAAUCAUCAAGGCAGCUUUUAUUUGUCACAAUUUAUACGUUAGGGGGAAGUAUUUUAAACGUGUUCAAAAUCAGUAAGUACCAUUACUUUUGCAUAUAUAAAAAUACAUAUCUACAUUCUUUAUAGUGAUAUAAAUAUAUAAACAUGCUACAUUUAUGCAUAUAAUUAUAAAUAUGGAAUAUAAC